UGGCCUUGACAUAAUAAGAAUCUUUUAGAGAUAGAAGAGUGCUAGUUUACUAGAGCUUAUAUACAGGUGCUGCACGGCUGUCGUCAGCUCGUGUCGUGAGAUGUUGGGUUAAGUCCCGCAACGAGCGCAACCCACGCCAAUAGUUAAUAACGGUUCGGCCGAUGACUCUAUUGGGACUGCCUUCGUAAGGAGGAGGAAGGUGUGGACGACGUCAAGUCAUCAUGGCCCUUACGGCCAGGGCUACACACGUGCUACAAUGGGGCGUACAGAGUGUUGCGAUACCGCGAGGUGGAGCUAAUCACUUAAAGCGUCUCUCAGUUCGGAUUGGAGUCUGCAACUCGACUCCAUGAAGCUGGAAUCACUAGUAAUCGUAGAUCAGCAAUGCUACGGUGAAUACGUUCCCGGGUC
rnacentral:rRNA from 1 species